rnacentral:rRNA from 1 species
UGCUGCUUCGCUGACGAGUGGCGGACGGGUGAGUAAUGUCUGGGAAACUGCCUGAUGGAGGGGGAUAACUACUGGAAACGGUGGCUAAUACCGCAUAACGUCGCAAGACCAAAGAGGGGGACCUUCGGGCCUCUUGCCAUCAGAUGUGCCCAGAUGGGAUUAGCUUGUUGGUGAGGUAACGGCUCACCAAGGCGACGAUCCCUAGCUGGUCUGAGAGGAUGACCAGCCACACUGGAACUGAGACACGGUCCAGACUCCUACGGGAGGCAGCAGUGGGGAAUAUUGCACAAUGGGCGCAAGCCUGAUGCAGCCAUGCCGCGUGUAUGAAGAAGGCCUUCGGGUUGUAAAGUACUUUCAGCGGGGAGGAAGGUGUUGUGGUUAAUAACCGCAGCAAUUGACGUUACCCGCAGAAGAAGCACCGGCUAACUCCGUGCCAGCAGCCGCGGUAAUACGGAGGGUGCAAGCGUUAAUCGGAAUUACUGGGCGUAAAGCGCACGCAGGCGGUCUGUCAAGUCGGAUGUGAAAUCCCCGGGCUCAACCUGGGAACUGCAUUCGAAACUGGCAGGCUUGAG